AUUGAACGCUGGCGGCAGGCCUAACACAUGCAAGUCGAGCGAGCGGCGGAAGGGUGAGUAAUGUAUGGGGACUGCCCGAUAGAGGGGGAUAAGUACUGGAAACGGUGGCUAAACCGGAAUACUGUGGGAUAACCCAUAUGGGAUUAGCUGGUAGGUAAGGUAAUGGCUUACCUAGGCGACGAUCCCUAGCUGGUCUGAGAGGAUGAUCAGCCACACUGGGACUGAGACACGGCCCAGACUCCUACGGAGGCAGCAGUGGGGAAUAUUGCACAAUGGGCGCAAGCCUGAUGCAGCCAUGCCGCGUGUAUGAAGAAGGCCCUAGGGUUGUAAAGUACUUUCAGUCGGGAGGCGUUACCGACAGAAGAAGCACCGGCUAACUCCGUGCCAGCAGCCGCGGUAAUAC
rnacentral:rRNA from 1 species